rnacentral:rRNA from 1 species
AGUCCCGCAACGAGCGCAACCCUUGUUCACUGUUGCCAGCACGUUAUGGUGGGGACUCAGUGGAGACCGCCGGGGUCAACUCGGAGGAAGGUGGGGAUGACGUCAAGUCAUCAUGCCCCUUAUGUCCAGGGCUUCACGCAUGCUACAAUGGCUGGUACAGAGAGUGGCGAGCCUGUGAGGGUGAGCGAAUCUCGGAAAGCCGGUCUCAGUUCGGAUUGGGGUCUGCAACUCGACCUCAUGAAGUCGGAGUCGCUAGUAAUCGCAGAUCAGCAACGCUGCGGUGAAUACGUUCCCGGGGCUUGUACACACCGCCCGUCAAGUCAUGAAAGUUGGUAACACCCGAAGCCGGUGGCCUAACCGUUGUGGGGGAGCCGUCGAAGGUGGGACUGGUGAUUAGGACUAAGUCGAAACAAGGUAGCCGUACCGGAAGGUGCGGCUGGAUCACCU